rnacentral:misc_RNA from 1 species
UCGCGGCUUAUCACCGGCAGUCCCCCUAGAGUGCCCAACCAAAUGAUGGCAACUAAGGGCGAGGGUUGCGCUCGUUGCGGGACUUAACCCAACAUCUCACGACACGAGCUGACGACAGCCAUGCAGCACCUGUGUCCACGCCCCUUGCGGGGAGGCAUCCGUCUCCAGAAGCCGUCGUGGCAUGUCAAGGGCUGGUAAGGUUCUGCGCGUUGCUUCGAAUUGAACCACAUGCUCCACCGCUUGUGUGGGCCCCCGUCAAUUCCUUUGAGUUUUAAUCUUGCGACCGUACUCCCCAGGCGGGGUGCUUAAUGCGUUUGCUGCGGCACCACAGGAGUCAAAGCCCGUGACACCUAGCACCCAUCGUUUACGGCGUGGACUAC